rnacentral:tRNA from 3 species
GGUGGAGCAGUCUGGUAGCUCGUCGGGCUCAUAACCCGAAGGUCGUUGGUUCAAAUCCAGCCC